rnacentral:rRNA from 1 species
GACGAACGCUGGCGGCGUGCUUAACACAUGCAAGUCGAACGGAAAGGCCCUGCUUUUGUGGGGUGCUCGAGUGGCGAACGGGUGAGUAACACGUGAGUAACCUGCCCUUGACUUUGGGAUAACUUCAGGAAACUGGGGCUAAUACCGGAUAGGAGCUCCUGCUGCAUGGUGGGGGUUGGAAAGUUUCGGCGGUUGGGGAUGGACUCGCGGCUUAUCAGCUUGUUGGUGGGGUAGUGGCUUACCAAGGCUUUGACGGGUAGCCGGCCUGAGAGGGUGACCGGCCACAUUGGGACUGAGAUACGGCCCAGACUCCUCCGGGAGGCAGCAGUGGGGAAUAUUGCACAAUGGGCGGAAGCCUGAUGCAGCAACGCCGCGUGCGGGAUGACGGCCUACGGGUUGUAAACCGCUUUCGCCUGUGACGAAGCGUGAGUGACGGUAAUGGGUAAAGAAGCACCGGCUAACUACGUG